AGUGAACGCUGGCGGUAGGCCUAACACAUGCAAGUCGAACGGCAGCACAGGAGAGCUUGCUCUCUGGGUGGCGAGUGGCGGACGGGUGAGGAAUACAUCGGAAUCUACUUUUUCGUGGGGGAUAACGUAGGGAAACUUACGCUAAUACCGCAUACGACCUACGGGUGAAAGCAGGGGACCUUCGGGCCUUGCGCGAUUGAAUGAGCCGAUGUCGGAUUAGCUAGUUGGCGGGGUAAAGGCCCACCAAGGCGACGAUCCGUAGCUGGUCUGAGAGGAUGAUCAGCCACGCUGGAACUGAGACACGGUCCAGACUCCUACGGGAGGCAGCAGUGGGGAAUAUUGGACAAUGGGCGCAAGCCUGAUCCAGCCAUACCGCGUGGGUGAAGAAGGCCUUCGGGUUGUAAAGCCCUUUUGUUGGGAAAGAAAUCCAGCCGGUUAAUACCUGGUUGGGAUGACGGUACCCAAAGAAUAAGCACCGGCUAACUUCGUGCCAGCCGCCGCCGUAA
rnacentral:rRNA from 1 species